UACGUAGGGGGCAAGCGUUGUCCGGAUUUAUUGGGCGUAAAGCGCGCGUAGGCGGCAAGGUAUGUCGUGCGUGAAAUCUCCCGGCUUAACUGGGAGGGCCGUGCGAAACUGCCUGGCUUGAGGUCGGAAGGGGAAAGUGGAAUUCCGGGUGUAGUGGUGGAAUACGUAGAUAUCCGGAGGAACACCAGCGGCGAAGGCGGCUUUCGUGGUCCGAGUUCUGACGCUGAGGCGCGAAAGCGUGGGGGAGCGAGUCCGGA
rnacentral:rRNA from 1 species